rnacentral:pre_miRNA from 1 species
CUUAUUGGCAAGAAUUUUGCUGGCCAAAGUUUUGUUAAGAAAAUUUCUUGCCAGGAGAG